UUUGCUUUAAGUCCUUUUACAAGCAACACAUUAUCUAGCUUUGGUAAGCCAUAGUUUGCAAGUUUACCAACUCCCUUAAUCUCUCCUUUGGCUCCAUCUCCAAAGGUCACAAAACUGGUGGCAUAAGACUUCAGAUCUUCAAGAUAAUGUUCAACACCUGUCAUAUGUCUAGAACAGCCACUAUCAAAGUACCAAGUUUCUCUUGAAGAAGCUCUCAAGGAUGUAUGAGCUAUCAGACCUGUGAUCUUCUUCUUUUCUCUCUAUUCCUUUCUAG
rnacentral:lncRNA from 1 species